rnacentral:rRNA from 1 species
UACGGGGGGGGCAAGCGUUGUUCGGAAUUACUGGGCGUAAAGGGCUCGUAGGCGGCCAACUAAGUCGGAUGUGAAAUCCCCAGGCUCAACUUGGGAACUGCAUCCGAUACUGGAUGGCUUGAAUUCGGGAGAGGGAUGCAGAAUUCCAGGUGUAGCGGUGAAAUGCGUAGAUAUCAGGAGGAACACCGGUGGCGAAGGCGGCGACCUGGGACGAUACUGACGCUGAGGUGCGAAAGCGUGGGGAGCAAACAGG